UGUUAUAUCCAAAAGUUCUACCCAAUAAGAUAUGCGUCUGAGGGGUUUAGGCGACAUCUGCGCAUGCGCUGAAUUAUCACCAUGCACUUUCACCUCGAAAAUAAACUAAGGCGCUCAUAAACUAAUUACGCUUCUUUUAAAUGUUAAUAUCUUUUUUUUAAUAGACUGUCGAAACAUUUGACAGUAAUAGAUGUGAUUGGUUUGUUGGCGUUUUUUGACCAAGCCCCACCUUCACUACCAUUUACUGCUCAUUGCUUGGCUGCAAUCAUUUAUUGUUAGGAUGAAGACUGAAACCCCUAAUUAAGAGCAUUCUUUAUGGACUAUACCAACAGCUUGGUGGAAAACUCUUAAUAUAUGGAAACGCCUUCCCAACUUCGAACUCUGUUAAAACUGAACAAUGUUGUGAGGUAACUCAUCACUUACCACGUCCAGAGACAGACUCAGCUUUUGACAGCUCUUUGAACGACACCGCCUCCUUCCUCGCAGCUAAGAGAGCAGCUCGAUUACGGCUCACUCUUCCUCUCAGCAGUAAAAAAGGGCCAGCUCUGAGUCUCCAUGCCUGGGGAUGGAUAGAUGUUCGAAGGAUAAAAAGAAGCAGGUGAUGCAAGGCUUGGUGGCAGCAACGGGGAGGAGAUCCAGCGGCGGCGACGGCAGCAGGCUCGGUGGAAUCGGCUGGAGGAGCAGCUGCAGCUGGAGCCGUGAGCUGGGGACUCUCUGCACACCGAUGAAUAAUGGAGAAGUAGUGAGAGG